rnacentral:tRNA from 1 species
AGGCACGUAGCUCAGGGGGAGAGCACCACCUUGACGCGGUGGGGGUCAGGGGUUCAAAUCCCCUCGUGCCUACCA